UUGUGGUUUUAAGCAUGUUUUAUGGUUCUUUUCCCAUCAUUUUGUGGUCGUUACCUGUUUAUUCUGCCAGUGCAGCACUUUCAUUUACUGUUUUCCAGCAGAUAGCCUGAAUUCCUGCUUUACAAACAAACAGCCAAAGCCUAAAAGAUGGAUAAAAGGCUCAAUAAAUUUUAAAAAAUUAGGUCCGUCUGGUGUGCUCAGGACUGGAUCCAAGAGGAUUUGGCUGAAUGGGCCGGAGCCAGCUUUGGGUUUCCUACCCACACAAGGUUUUAUGGAUGGAAAUUACCAGGGAUUUAUACAUACCAGAUGAAAUUAUCACAGGUUCUUCAUGGCUGUGCUGCGAACACUGAGGUGUGAUAGAAGGAGCCCCAAGGAAUCAGUAUGAGAUCUUCAGCCAAGACUUUCAGAUUUACAUCCAUUAGUAGAAGUUUAAGAUAAUGUUAUGUUUCACAUGUGUAAUCAUGAAAAAUAUCUCUGGGGCCUGGUAGCAGUUCAUAAAGGGUCUUUGUUGGCAAUCUUGUCAAAACCUGUUUAGGCAAAAUCACUUAAUUUACAACAAGAAUCAAAGCAUGAAAAAAGUAAAGGAUGGUUUAAAGAUGUAAUGGUAGUAACUGCAAAAGUGACAGAAAUGCUAACAGGCUCAGUACCAAUCGACCAAAUCACAACGUUAAACACUUUACCAGAUGUGGAUAAACUCCAGGACAGGAAAGGUGUCUGCCUUCAGGCCACUGAUUUACUCUUCCCCAGCUGUUUUCUGAAGCUCAACACUUCCACAGUGAGAGCAGCGAUUCACUGUUGUGAUGUCAAACCAUCAAGGUCCUUGAUGUUGAAAGGGAGAGCCUAUAGCUGCAGAGGGAACAACUGACCAUCCUGCUCUCAUGUAAAAGCUAAAAUCUCAUCACAGCAUGGCAGCGCUCUCUUGUUGCUAUGAUCAUGCUGUCCUGUCACUGACUGCAGGAAAAUACGCCACACUCAACCCCCACCUCCAAGUUGUUUAAGGAAAGACAGAAAGCCGAGUUCUCAGUUUGAAAUACAAAAUGUACUUAUUACUGUCAGUAACCUCUGGUGUUGCAUUCUGAUUAUGAGUAGGAAGAGAAAGAGAGGAAAAGCCGUCAGAAGGUCAUAAAACUUAUUCUGAUUUUAUUUUCAGUAGUUACAUGUUGACAUAAAAUACAUCAGGUUUUAGAUUAUUUGAAAAAUGAUUUUAGAUUCAUGAAGAUGAUUUUAUUGCUAAAUUAGAUAUUGAGACAUAUUAUAUAAAACAAGUUUUAAAAUCAUCACUUUGUUUUGAAUUGACAAAGUAUCUCGAAUCAAACCGUUUGCAUAAAGACAUAAUACUGCAAAAGCUAAAAGUGUCCAGAAAUGAGCGACUGCAUUCAGAACAUUUUUAUAGAGGCCUGUUAAAGUCCAGCCUUCAAAGUCUUACAGGUUUUCACUUUUGGUCAGGAGUAAAUUCUGGCAGUAAAUGUUGAUGAAUAAAGCAGGAUCUGCAGCCCA